UGUUCGUAUUUGGUUUUUUUUCUUUUCUUUUUUUCUAUUAUGCUUUCUUUUUCUUGUCUUUUCUUUAUUUUCAGGAUACGGAAGAUUUUUGCAAGUAUUGGGAUAUAGUUAUGUUAGUAUUUUUUAUUUCUUUUUUUUCUUUUUUCAUUUUUUCUUUUCGUGCUUCAUUUUUUAUUUUAUGUUUUAUAUAUAUUUAUUGCUAACUUAUUUACAUUUUAUGUUUCUUUUAUUUUUUUCCAUUUAUUUUUUCUUUUUUGUUAUUAAUUUUUAUGUCCGCAUAUAUAUGUUAUGUUCUAUUUUUACUUUUUUUCCUUUUGUUUUCUUCUUAUUUAUUUCUUUUGUUUCUUCUCUAAUUAUAUUUUCCUUUGAUUUAUGUUUUUAUUUCUUAAUCUUUCUUUAAUCCUUUUCUUUUUUAUGUGUAUUUACACCACGGAAAGCUUCAGGUAUAAACGGUCGAACACGAGACAUGUUACUUGUGAUAUUUUGUUAUGCUUUUUUAUAUUUAUAUAGUAUAUAUGUGAUGUUCUAUUUUUUUUAUGUUUAGUGAUGUUUUAUGACGUAUUUUGUGAUAUUCGCAUUAUAUACAUAUGAUGUUCAUGUAGAUGUUCUAUGGUAUAUUCUGUGAUGUUCUCGUAGUAUACAUGUGAUGUUUUCAUAGUAUACAUAUGAUGUUCUGUGAUGUAUUUUAUGAUGUUCUAUGAUACAUUUUGUGACAUAUAUAUAUAUAUAUAUAUAUAUAUAUAUAUAUAUAUAUGAUAUUCUUUGUUAUAUUUUGUGAUAUUUAUAUAGCAUAUAUGUGAUAUUCUAGGUGUUUUUUCCUGUUCAUGCGCUAUACAUGUGAUGUUUUAUAUUUAUUUUUUACGCUAUUUACAUGGCAUAAAUGAAAAUAUAUUUUUUAGGAUGUGCAUAUUGUGUAAUUUUAAUGUUUUAUGAUUAUUUUUUAUUAUUUAUAUAGUACUUACGAAGAUGGUGCAUGAUAUGAUUUUGAUAUGGUUAAUAAUGAUGAUAUGUAUAUAUAUAUAUAUAUAUAUAUAUAUAUAUAUAUAUAUGAUAUUCUUUGUUAUAUUUUGUGAUAUUUAUAUAGCAUAUAUGUGAUAUUCUAGGUGUUUUUUCCUGUUCAUGCGCUAUACAUGUGAUGUUUUAUAUUUAUUUUUUACGCUAUUUACAUGGCAUAAAUGAAAAUAUAUUUUUUAGGAUGUGCAUAUUGUGUAAUUUUAAUGUUUUAUGAUUAUUUUUUAUUAUUUAUAUAGUACUUACGAAGAUGGUGCAUGAUAUGAUUUUGAUAUGGUUAAUAAUGAUGAUAUGUUGUAAUCCAUCACAAAUAUUAAUAUGGUGUAGUGGUCGUGGAUGAGACCUUGAACCGUGAGGUAUUUAGUUCAAAUCCUUACUUUAUUAUUUUAAUAUUUUGUGAAUGUUUAUUAUUUUCUGGAGAAGGGAAGGGGAGUGGCACGGGCGGGAGGCGCGAAAAUCGAGUGGGAACCCGCUGGACAGAGGGUUCCAUCCGAACGGGCGGACCCUAGCGUCCCCCCGCCCCAUCGACCAGCCCCUCCCCGAGGGAUGG
rnacentral:lncRNA from 1 species